CUGCAUGGCUGUCGUCAGCUCGUGUCGUGAGAUGUUCGGUUAAGUCCGCUAACGAGCGCAACCCUCGCUGUGUGUUACAAGUGUCACACGGAACUGCCGGUCAUAAACCGGAGGAAGGUGGGAUGACGUCAAGUCAGCAUGGCCUUUAUAUCCUGGGCUACACACACGCUACAAUGGGAAGGGACAAUAGGUUGCGAAGCCGCGAGGCGGAGCCAAUCCAGCAAAACUUCCCUCAGUUCAGAUUGCAGGCUGCAACCCGCCUGCAUGAAGUUGGAGUUGCUAGUAAACGCAGGUCAGCCAUACUGCGUUGAAUACGUUCCCGGGGCUU
rnacentral:rRNA from 1 species